rnacentral:rRNA from 1 species
GGAAUAUUGGUCAAUGGUCGCGAGACUGAACCAGCCAAGUAGCGUGAAGGAUGACGGCCCUCCGGGUUGUAAACUUCUUUUGCUGGAGAUUAAGAUGCGCCACUGGUGGCGUAGUGCAGUAAUCCAGCGAAUAAGCAUCGGCUAACUCCGUGCCAGCAGCCGCGGUAAUACGGAGGAUGCGAGCGUUAUCCGGAUUUAUUGGGUUUAAAGGGAGCGUAGAUGGGAGCUUAAGCCAGUUGUGAAAAGCGCGGGCCCAACCCGCGUCGUGCAAUUGGAACUGUGUUCCUUGAGUGGGUUCGGGGCAGGUGGAAUUCGUGGUGUAGCGGUGAAAUGCUUAGAUAUCACGAAGAACUCCGACAGCGUAGGCAUCCUGCCAGGCCCUUACUGACAUUGAAGCUCGAAGGUGCGGGUAUCAAACA